AGAGUUUGAUCCUGGCUCAGAUUGAACGCUGGCGGCAUGCUUUACACAUGCAAGUCGAGCGGCAGCGCGGGGGCAACCCUGGCGGCGAGCGGCGGACGGGUGAGAAAUGCAUCGGAACGUAUCCCGUAGUGGGGGACAACCCAGCGAAAGCUGGGCUAAUACCGCAUAUGCUCUACGGAGGAAAGUGGGGGACCCGCAAGGGCCUCACGCUAUGGGAGCGGCCGAUGUCCGAUUAGCUAGUUGGUGGGGUAAAGGCUUACCAAGGCGACGAUCGGUAGCUGGUCUGAGAGGAUGAUCAGCCACACUGGGACUGAGACACGGCCCAGACUCCUACGGGAGGCAGCAGUGGGGAAUUUUGGACAAUGGGGGCAACCCUGAUCCAGCCAUGCCGCGUGCGGGAAGAAGGCCUUCGGGUUGUAAACCGCUUUUGGUCGGGAAGAAAGGGUCACUCCUAACAGGGGUGACUGUGACGUACCGGCAGAAAAGCCCA
rnacentral:rRNA from 1 species